CGUCGGUCCCCUCGCAACGAUACUUUGCGAACCCCGCCAGGCCCGGAAGGGAGCAACGGUAGUAAAGAACUCGUGUGCCGGGGUGUGGCUGACGUGG
rnacentral:SRP_RNA from 1 species